rnacentral:tRNA from 1 species
GCGGGAAUAGCUCAGUCGGUAGAGCGCCAGCUUCCCAAGCUGGAGGUCGCGGGUUCGAUCCCCGUUUCCCGCUCCA